rnacentral:rRNA from 1 species
ACUCCUACGGGAGGCAGCAGUAGGGAAUCUUCCACAAUGGACGAAAGUCUGAUGGAGCAACGCCGCGUGAGUGAAGAAGGGUUUCGGCUCGUAAAACUCUGUUGUUAAAGAAGAACAUAUCUGAGAGUAACUGUUCAGGUAUUGACGGUAUUUAACCAGAAAGCCACGGCUAACUACGUGCCAGCAGCCGCGGUAAUACGUAGGUGGCAAGCGUUGUCCGGAUUUAUUGGGCGUAAAGCGAGCGCAGGCGGUUUUUAAGUCUGAUGUGAAAGCCUUCGGCUCAACCGAAGAAGUGCAUCGGAAACUGGGAAACUUGAGUGCAGAAGAGGACAGUGGAACUCCAUGUGUAGCGGUGAAAUGCGUAGAUAUAUGGAAGAACACCAGUGGCGAAGGCGGCUGUCUGGUCUGUAACUGACGCUGAGGCUCGAAAGUAUGGGUAACAAACAGGAUUAGAUACCCUGGUAGGAUAGCG